GUUGUAUAGUCAAGUAAUUAAGUGCAUGUGGUGGAUGCCUUGGCAGUCAGAGGCGAUGAAAGACGUGAUAGCCUGCGAAAAGCUCCGGGGAGGCGGCAAAUAUCCUUUGAUCCGGAGAUGUCUGAAUGGGGGAACCCACCUACUUUAAGGUAGGUAUUGCAACAUGAAUACAUAGUGUUGCAAGGCGAACGAGGGGAAGUGAAACAUCUCAGUACCCUUAGGAAAAGAAAUCAAUUGAGAUUCCCUCAGUAGCGGCGAGCGAACGGGGAUCAGCCCAUUAAGUUAUGUGUGUUUUAGUGGAACGCUCUGGGAAGUGCGAACGUAGAGGGUGAUAUUCCCGUACACGAAAGGGCACACAUAAUGAUGACGAGUAGGGCGAGGCACGUGAAACCUUGUCUGAAUAUGGGGGGACCAUCCUCCAAGGCUAAAUACUCCUGACUGACCGAUAGUGAACCAGUACCGUGAGGGAAAGGCGAAAAGAACCCCUGUGAGGGGAGUGAAAUAGAUCCUGAAACCGCAUGCAUACAAGCAGUGGGAGCACCUUCGUGGUGUGACUGCGUACCUUUUGUAUAAUGGGUCAGCGACUUAUAUUCAGUAGCGAGGUUAACCGUAUAGGGGAGCCGUAGAGAAAUCGAGUCUUAAUAGGGCGUUUAGUUGCUGGGUAUAGACCCGAAACCAGGCGAUCUAUCCAUGAGCAGGUUGAAGGUUGGGUAACACUAACUGGAGGACCGAACCCACUGUCGUUGAAAAGCCAGGGGAUGACUUGUGGAUAGGGGUGAAAGGCUAAUCAAGCCUGGUGAUAGCUGGUUCUCCCCGAAAGCUAUUUAGGUAGCGCCUCGGACGAAUACCAUAGGGGGUAGAGCACUGUUUCGGCUAGGGGGUCAUCCCGACUUACCAAACCGAUGCAAACUCCGAAUACCUAUGAGUACUAUCCGGGAGACAGACUGCGGGUGCUAACGUCCGUAGUCAAGAGGAAAACAAUCCAGACCGCCAGCUAAGGCCCCAAAAUCAUAGUUAAGUGGGAAACGAUGUGGGAAGGCAUAGACAGCUAGGAGGUUGGCUUAGAAGCAGCCACCCUUUAAAGAAAGCGUAAUAGCUCACUAGUCGAGUCGGCCUGCGCGGAAGAUGUAACGGGGCUAAAACUAUGUGCCGAAGCUGCGGAUGUAUACUUUGUAUACGUGGUAGGGGAGCGUUCUGUAAGCCGAUGAAGGUGUGUUGAGAAGCAUGCUGGAGGUAUCAGAAGUGCGAAUGCUGACGUGAGUAACGACAAAACGGGUGAAAAACCCGUUCGCCGAAAGACCAAGGGUUCCAGUCCAACGUUAAUCGGGGCUGGGUGAGUCGCCCCUAAGGCGAGGCCGAAAGGCGUAGUCGAUGGGAAAAUGGUUAAUAUUCCAUUACUUCUGUGUAAUGCGAUGAGAGGACGGAGAAGGCUAAAUCAGCCUGGCGUUGGUUGUCCAGGUGAAAGGAUGUAGGCAUGUAUCUUAGGCAAAUCCGGGGUACUCUAUGCUGAGAUCUGAUAGCAAGCUGUACUUGUACAGCGAAGUGGUUGAUGCCAUGCUUCCAGGAAAAGUCUCUAAGCUUCAGUUACACAGGAAUCGUACCCGAAACCGACACAGGUGGUCAGGUCGAGUAGACCAAGGCGCUUGAGAGAACUCUGCUGAAGGAACUAGGCAAAAUGGUACCGUAACUUCGGGAGAAGGUACGCUGUUGUUGGUGAUGGAACUCGCUUCCUGAGCUGACGACAGCCGCAGAAACCAGGCCGCUGCAACUGUUUAUUAAAAACAUAGCACUCUGCAAACACGAAAGUGGACGUAUAGGGUGUGAUGCCUGCCCGGUGCUGGAAGGUUAAUUGAUGGGGUUAGCGUAAGCGAAGCUCUUGAUCGAAGCCCCAGUAAACGGCGGCCGUAACUAUAACGGUCCUAAGGUAGCGAAAUUCCUUGUCGGGUAAGUUCCGACCUGCACGAAUGGCAUAAUGAUGGCGGCGCUGUCUCCAGCAGAGGCUCAGUGAAAUCGAAAUCGCUGUGAAGAUGCAGUGUACCCGCGGCUAGACGGAAAGACCCCGUGAACCUUUACUGCAGCUUGACACUGAACUUUGACCUUACUUGUGUAGGAUAGGUGGGAGGCUUUGAAGCUGGAACGCUAGUUCCAGUGGAGCCGUCCUUGAAAUACCACCCUGGUAAUGUUGAGGUUCUAACUCUGUCCCGUGAUCCGGGACGAGGACCGUGUCUGGUGGGUAGUUUGACUGGGGCGGUCUCCUCCUAAAGAGUAACGGAGGAGUACGAAGGUGCGCUCAGCGUGGUCGGAAAUCACGCGUAGAGUAUAAAGGCAAAAGCGCGCUUAACUGCGAGACCCACAAGUCGAGCAGGUACGAAAGUAGGUCUUAGUGAUCCGGUGGUUCUGUAUGGAAGGGCCAUCGCUCAACGGAUAAAAGGUACUCUGGGGAUAACAGGCUGAUACCGCCCAAGAGUUCAUAUCGACGGCGGUGUUUGGCACCUCGAUGUCGGCUCAUCUCAUCCUGGGGCUGAAGCAGGUCCCAAGGGUAUGGCUGUUCGCCAUUUAAAGAGGUACGCGAGCUGGGUUUAGAACGUCGUGAGACAGUUCGGUCCCUAUCUACCGUGGGCGCUGGAAAUUUGAGAGGAUCUGCUCCUAGUACGAGAGGACCAGAGUGGACGAACCUCUGGUGUACCGGUUGUGACGCCAGUCGCAUCGCCGGGUAGCUAUGUUCGGAAGGGAUAACCGCUGAAAGCAUCUAAGCGGGAAGCCUACCUCAAGAUAAGAUUUCCCUAGGACUUUAUGUCCUCUAAAGAGCCGUUCGAGACUAGGACGUUGAUAGGUUGGAUGUGGAAGCAUAGUGAUAUGUGAAGCUGACCAAUACUAAUUGCUCGUGAGGCUUGACUAUACAACACCCAAGCAGUUG
rnacentral:rRNA from 1 species